rnacentral:lncRNA from 1 species
AGACGGUCAUAGCAAACCCAGACAGGAGCGGGCAGGAGCAGAGACGUGAGCCCUGCUCUCUAACUAGUGGUAUUAUCACCCAUUUGUGGCUCCUGAGAGAGAACAGCGGGGCAAGCCAGGCCUUAGCACUGUGCCUUGCAUUAAUUAACAAGCACGGACCUGGCCUUUCAGGUACACCAGGGAUGGGCCUCUCUCCCUCGUCUUAGGUUCUGCCGGAAGCCAGGGUGAGUCCUGUACAGAUUCUGAACCCUUCUUUAUGUGCACAGACCCAACUCUCACGCCUACCGAUGUUGGUCUGUGCUACUCCUUCAUCCAGGCAGCAAAUCAGCACGGACCCAGGGAAGAAAUUUACCACAGCAAAUUAGCACUUACCAAUGAUAUCUGGGGGCUAUGGGCAUGGCUACUGACCUCAAUGGAUGCAAAUAGGAUCUAUGACCACAGAAUAUACCCCCACUCUCAACUUAUAUGUGAGUAAACUGAGGCUCAGAAGACCGAUAGCCAAUGUAGCAGAGAUAAGAUUUAGAGGCCAGUCUUCUGGCCUCAAAAUCUGUGCUGUUUUUCACCAUGUCUACCAUCUUCUCCAGAUUUCUCAAACCCAUUCUGUGUCCCAUCCACCAACAAAGCCCACACAUUUUAUAUGGCUGGUGCUGGUAUGGAAAAAACUUGAGACUUUUUAAAAAUUCCAUGGCUAUUAGUUUAAUUAUCUCAUCAGUCAGUUAAGGAAGUAUCUCCUUUAUUUAUUGGUGUGUUUCUCAUAUUUAAUGCAUGUUAUUAAUGUAUUAAAUUAAUAAUAGUAAUGCAAAUUAAAACUGUAGCAUCUGGUGUUAAGCGGCAAUGCUUGAUAUACAAACUUAAAUAAAUAAAUAACAUUCUGAAAUAUUUAUUUACCAGUCAUAAUUUUAAAAAUUGUUUAUACUAAAACAUGUUUAUAGUAAAGACUAUCUGCAAAAUUGAAAAUCAGAACUUGUGGGAUUUUUUUGCAGUAAUGCUAAGUCCAGCAUUUGGUUAUAAAUUCUUUGCAUACAUUUUUUUCUUUAAUGUAUGCAUUUUUAAAAUAUAUAUUUUGAUGUUUUAAAUAGAAAACAUGGA